rnacentral:rRNA from 1 species
AUUGAACGCUGGCGGCAUGCUUUACACAUGCAAGUCGAACGGCAGCACGGGCUUCGGCCUGGUGGCGAGUGGCGAACGGGUGAGUAAUACAUCGGAACGUACCCAGAAGUGGGGGAUAACGUAGCGAAAGUUACGCUAAUACCGCAUACGCUCUACGGAAGAAAGUGGGGGAUCGCAAGACCUCAUGCUUUUGGAGCGGCCGAUGUCUGAUUAGCUAGUUGGUGAGGUAAAGGCUCACCAAGGCGACGAUCAGUAGCUGGUCUGGGAGGACGACCAGCCACACUGGAAGUGAGACACGGUCCAGACUCCUACGGGAGGCAGCAGUGGGGAAUUUUGGACAAUGGGCGCAAGCCUGAUCCAGCAAUGCCGCGUGAGUGAAGAAGGCCUUCGGGUUGUAAAGCUCUUUUGUCAGGGAAGAAACGGUAGGGGCUAAUAUCCUUUGCUAAUGACGGUACCUGAAGAAUAAGCACCGGCUAACUACGUGCCAGCCGCCGCCGUAAUAC